rnacentral:lncRNA from 1 species
CAUAUUUCAAAUCCAUUUUUAAAAAUCCCAAAAGAAUAAUAUCCAAUCCACUUUGUAUCCAAAAUCUGCAUCCAAUUAAAUCCAUGUGGUUUGGCCAUUAACCAAUUAACACAAUACUUCCAAGGUCCAAAACAAGUACAUGUGAUGAUGAGCCAAGCCAAAAGCGACAUUCAAACUCACUAUCCUAAGCAGCUACAACGAAAAGCUGCACAACAACUGCAACUCAAACACCUUCCAAACUCCCAGCUACUCAACUCACAUGGUACUGCAGUGCAAAGGCCAAAGUCCAAACGAAAACGAGCCACCACACAAAACGGCUUCCGCAAACCAGCUGCUACAAUGCGCAACAACCACCAAAAAGCUGCUAUGGAAAAGAGCUUCAAAUAUAAGCCAUGACAACAGCAGCACACCAACGCCAAUGCAUCAAAACUCAUAAGCUGCUACUUAACACAUUAAGCCAAGCUACAACACGCUAGAAUCAAGCCAAAACGGCAACGCCGGCGUGGAAAAGAAGCAUUACCAAAAGUUCAUGAGCGGCUCAACCCAAACGCGAACGAAACGCGGAUACAAAACCUGCAAAAGGGAGCUAACAAAUCUCAGUUUUUAAAAUUAAACUUCUAACAUUAACCAGUAGCAAAAAUAAAUCUCAGAACUCCAAUUAAUAGAAUGGACACGACUCGAACUUCAUAACUACAUCUGAACUAACAAAUUGAAACGACAACGACUUAUAACUGAAUCCUAACAGAAGAGUAGAAGAGAAGAUUUUGGAAAAUCUAUAAAAUCUAACCUUCGCCGUUCAGAAGCUCUCUCUCUUUCAUUGCCACAUUCAUCUUCAACCUCUCUUCCAUCUUCUCCAAAAUCACAACAAACUCUAUAUAACCGCAGCAACCAACCGAGUUCUUCAGCCUUCAACUUUCAACACACCAUAACCAACUCCAGGCAACUUUACCUUCAGAGUUUCAUUCAGAACUCAGUUCUGCAGAAAACUCCAAACAAAAUCUUGUCAAAAACACUACCGAUACCAAGAUCCAACAUUUCCUUUCCAUCACCCAUACUUCCAACAACAUGGCAACUUAGAACCAUCUCUCAACAAUAGCAGAAUACAGAAGAAGAAAAUCGGAAAAAGAAGUGUAACAGAAGAGGAAGAUCGACGGAGAGCAGAAGAAAACGAAAACAAAAUCGGGAAGAGAACUCACGAUUUGGAAGAGGCUCCGUCUUCAUCAAGAUUCGCCGUAGAGAUUUGAUAAGCCAACUUCAACGGUCUUCAUUACCGUCAUCCAAACCGAAGAUACAACUUACGCAACGAACGAGUUCGUGACCAAGCAUUGUCUUCAUCUUUCACCUAACGUAGCGGCGAAGACGGCACAGAUCGAAGGAGUUCGGUUGAAGGUUCGUGAUUACUCGCGGCGGCCACACACUGGAAACUUUCGGCAUCGACGGUAGGUUUCAACCCCAACAUAAACGCAUUUUCUGCAUUUCAUUUCCUUUACUGUCCUCGUCACGAGCGUCUUCCCUUGAGUUGGAACGUUCCUCAUCUCAAUUGGACCGAUUCUUGGUAAUGUCAUGGAAGACCCGGAUUUGGGCCUUUGGCCCAAGUGUUUUUCCCCCAGCUAUACACCUCACCUCUCAUUCAUGCACCCCCCAUAGUCCAUGUUCAUGUUAACCCCCCACUAAUCGUGAUUAGCCCUUACCUAAUUUAUAAAUUUUAAUUCCAAUUUUGAUUAACCUGGAUGUUGUCUUGUAGAUAUUAUUAGAAAUAGGUUAAUUCAUAGUUUUUUAGGAAUAUUAGAAUUAAGUCUUAAUUUUUUAUAAUUAGGAACUAACAUAAUUUUAGAUUAGGUGAUUAGAUUAGAAAUUAGAUUUAAUCACUUCUUAGAUUAGGUUUAGUUUCUUAAUUUUCCAGAAUUAAUCUG